rnacentral:rRNA from 1 species
UACGAAGGGUGCAACCGUUGCUCGGAAUUAUUGGGCGUAAAGCGCACGUAGGCGGCUUGGCAAGUCGGAUGUGAAAGCCCACGGCUCAACCAUGGAAGUGCAUCCGAAACUGCUGAGCUUGAGUACUUAAGAGGAUCGCGGAAUUCCCGGUGUAGAGGUGAAAUUCGUAGAUAUCGGGGGGAACACCAGUGGCGAAGGCGGCUCACUGGCCCGAUACUGACGCUGAGGCACGAAAGCGUGGGGAGCAAACAGG